rnacentral:rRNA from 1 species
GAUGAACGCUGGCGGCGUGCCUAAUACAUGCAAGUCGAACGCGCAGCGAAAGGUGCUUGCACCUUUCAAGCGAGUGGCGAACGGGUGAGUAACACGUGGAUAACCUGCCUCAAGGCUGGGGAUAACAUUUGGAAACAGAUGCUAAUACCGAAUAAAACUUAGUAUCGCAUGAUACAAAGUUAAAAGGCGCUACGGCGUCACCUAGAGAUGGAUCCGCGGUGCAUUAGUUAGUUGGUGGGGUAAAGGCUUACCAAGACGAUGAUGCAUAGCCGGGUUGAGAGACUGAUCAGGCACAUUGGGACUGAGACACGGCCCAAACUCCUACGGGAGGCUGCAGUAGGGAAUCUUCCACAAGGGGCGCAAGCCUGAUGGAGCAACGCCGCGUGUGUGAUGAAGGCUUUCGGGUCGUAAAGCACUGUUGUAUGGGAAGAAAUGCUAAAAUAGGGAAUGAUUUUAGUUUGACGGUACCAUACCAGAAAGGGACGGCUAAAUACGUGCCAGCAGCCGCCGCGG